GACGAACGCUGGCGGCGUGCUUAACACAUGCAAGUCGAACGGACGGGCCCUGCUUUUGUUUGGUUCUCGUUUGGCGAACGGGUGAGUAACACGUGAGUAACCUGCCCUUGACUUUCUGAUAUCUUCAGGAAACUCGGGCUAAUACCGCAUAUGAUCUCCUGCUGCAUGGUGUGGGUUGGAGAGUGUCGGCGGUUGUGGAUGGAUUCGCGGCUUAUCAGCUUGUUUGUGUGGUAGUUGCUUACCAAGGCUUUGACGGAUAGCCUGCCUGAGAGGGUUACCGGCCACAAUGGGACUGAGAGAGGGACCAGUCUCGAACGGGAGGCAGUAGUGGAGAACAUGGCGCAACGGGCGGACGCGUGAUGCAGCAACGCCGCGUGCGGGAUGCCGGGCUUCGGGUUGUAAACCGCUGUCGACUGUGACGAAGCGUGAGUGACGGUACUGGGUAAAGAAGCAACGGCUAACUACGUG
rnacentral:rRNA from 1 species